AGAAUCAACGCUGGCGGCGUGCCUAACACAUGCAAGUCGAACGAGAAAGGGGAGCAAUCCCUGAGUAAAGUGGCGCACGGGUGAGUAACACGUGACUAACCUACCCUGGAGUGGGGGGAUAACUGAGGGAAACCUUAGCUAAUACCGCAUAAUACCUACGGGUCAAAGGAGCAAUUCGCUUCAGGAGGGGGUCGCGGCCGAUUAGUUAGUUGGCGGGGUAAUGGCCCACCAAGACGAUGAUCGGUAUCCGGCCUGAGAGGGCGCACGGACACACUGGAACUGAAACACGGUCCAGACUCCUACGGGAGGCAGCAGUGGGGAAUUUUGCGCAAUGGGGGAAACCCUGACGCAGCAACGCCGCGUGGAGGAUGAAGUACUUCGGUACGUAAACUCCUUUCGAUCGGGACGAUAAUGACGGUACCGGAAGAAGAAGCCCCGGCUAACUUCGCGUCAGCAGCCGC
rnacentral:rRNA from 1 species